UUUGCAAAAAGGCAAAUGAAGUAAGAAAAUUGUUUUAUUCUAAGUUUCAAAAUUUUCGUGGCAACUAUUACAUGUGAAAGGACUCAGUGUCAAAGGAUUUGAUUUUUUGAAAUUUUAUUCAUUUUCUUUUUUAAUUUUUAGAAUGGACAAAGAAGCACAGCUUUAGUUGCUUGCUUCUGAUUGGCCAAUGCUUGAAGUCAUGGAUCGAUGACAUGGCAUGUCCUGAUUGGUGCUCCUGGUUCAUGUCUCUCUCCCUUAUCUCCUCAAGUGCACAGCCGCAGCCAGCACCUCACGCCUCAUCUCUUCGCUGCCUCGCCGGAGUCGCCGCUCCUCGCCGUAGACGCCGCUCCUCGCGCCGCCAUAGGUACACUCGCUGCUCCUCGCCGGACAGCAGUGGCGCAGCCGCAAGCAUCGGCCGAAGCACCAAGCAGCAGCAAGCACGCGCAAGAACAGCCCCGGCCGCCCGCCGCUGCUGCUCCUCUUCCUCGGCCACGACAGCAACAGGUGGUCAAGCACGUGUGCAAGCAGCAUCAGUCCGGUGGUUUUGACGCAAGGCGUGAGGAGGCGGCUGCUCCGUGCAACACUGCAUCUCGCCGUCCUCCUCUCGAUCUGUGCCUUCCCUGAACGUCGGAGUCCUGUGCGCAGCUCACCAACGCGGCCAUUGCGGCACUACGGCGGCCACCAUGGGUGCAUGGGCGGGGCACACGCGAUGGGAGCAGCGCCGGCGACUGGAUUUGGCCACGAUUAAAUCUGGGACGGGAUCGAGCGUUGCAAUUUUUUUUUAUUCACUACUAAAUAUUAAUGUCUCGUACAACAAAAUCUCAUUGCAAUCCAUUCCUGCACCAACGCGUUGCAUAUUAUCUAGUAAAGCCAAUUUUGGGAUCA